UACGAAGGGGGCUAGCGUUGCUCGGAAUGACUGGGCGUAAAGGGCGCGUAGGCGGCUCAUACAGUCAGAUGUGAAAUUCCUGGGCUUAACCUGGGGGCUGCAUUUGAUACGUGUGGGCUUGAGUGGGGAAGAGGGUCGUGGAAUUCCCAGUGUAGAGGUGAAAUUCGUAGAUAUUAGGAAGAACACCGGUGGCGAAGGCGGCGACCUGGUCCUUGACUGACGCUGAGGCGCGAAAGCGUGGGGAGCAAACAGG
rnacentral:rRNA from 1 species